UAACAAUGAUUUCCCUAGUAACGGCGAGUGAAGAGGAAAGAGCUCAAAGUUGGAACCUGUUUGGCCUAGCUAAACAGGAUUGUAAACUGUAGAAGUGUUUUCCAGGCAAUCCGAGUUAAUAAGUCCUUUGGAACAGGGCAUCAUAGAGGGUGAGAAUCCCGUCUUUGAUUCGAGAUAUUUUGUCUUUUGCGAUACACUUUCAAAGAGUCAGGUUGUUUGGGAAUGCAGCCUAAAUUGGGUGGUAAAUCUCACCUAAAGCUAAAUAUUGGCGAGAAACCGAUAGCGAACAAGUACCGUGAGGGAAAGAUGAAAAGAACUUUGAAAAGAGAGUUAAACAGUAUGUGAAAUUGUUAAAAGGGAACCGUUUGGAGCCAGACUGGCUUGUCUGUAAUCAAUCUAGGUUUCGUGCCUGGAUGCACUUGCAGACUAUUUGCCUGCCAACGACAAUUUUUUUUGAGUGUAAAAACUAUUGGAAAUGUGGCCAAUAUUUAUUUAUUGGUGUUAUAGUCCUUUAGAAAAUACCUUGAAUUGGAUUGAGGAACGCAGCGAAUGCUUCUCUUUUGAGGCAAAGUCUUUUAUUGGGAUUUACGGAUCAGACUGUGGCAUUGUCACAAGACUUGAAGUUUAAACCUAUUUUUGAACUUUUAUUCGCUUAGGUUGUUGGCUUAAUGACUCUAAAUGACCCGUCUA
rnacentral:rRNA from 1 species